AGGCAACCACGGUAGGGUCAGCGACUGGGGUGAAGUCGUAACAAGGUAGCCGUAGGGGAACCUGUGGCUGGAUCACCU
rnacentral:rRNA from 3 species